AGACUCCUCUUUAUUUUUCUGCAUUCCCAUCAGCCAAAAAAACGCCCUAAGGGUUUCUUCAAGCUGGUUUUUCAUAAUUUUUGCACCAAAUCCAGAAAAUUCAAAUACGAAGCAAGAUCGAGGAAAAGAAAAAGUUCGGGAUUAGUAGAUUUUUGGUUACGAACAAGUGUCGAGAGUUAAGAGCUCGGAGGUCGGAUUUGGUCGGAGACACAUCACACUAUCAAUCUCGAGAUCUCAGUAGAUAAAGGGACUUUAUUUUGGAAAUCAAUGGCAUGUAUAAGCUAGUAAAUUAGAUGUUAAUGUGAAAUGAAUGUAUGGUUAGCCAUUGGUAUGGCUAACAAAUUUUGGUUU